CAAGCGUCUGGGGUAGGAGUUCGCUGCCAACAGCCCCCACUGACGAGUCUCUUUGGGCAGUGACUUCCGAGACGAAACGCCAA
rnacentral:hammerhead_ribozyme from 17 species